GACGAACCGUGCGAACGUUGUUCGGAAUCACUGGGCUUAAAGGGCGCGUAGGCGGGCCACCAAGUCAGGGGUGAAAUCUUUCGGCUCAACCGGAAAAGUGCCUUUGAUACUGGUGGCCUCGAGGGAGGUAGGGGUCUGCGGAACUUCCGGUGGAGCGGUGAAAUGCGUAGAUAUCGGAAGGAACGCCGGUGGCGAAAGCGGCGGACUGGACCGUCUUCUGACGCUGAGGCGCGAAAGCCAGGGGAGCAAACGGG
rnacentral:rRNA from 1 species